rnacentral:rRNA from 1 species
AUACGGAGGGUGCAAGCGUUAUUGGGAAUCACUGGGCGUAAAGGACGCGUAGGCGGGUUGGCAAGUCAGAUGUGAAAUCCUACAGCUUAACUGUAGAACUGCAUUUGAAACUGCUAACCUAGAGUAUGGGAGGGGGAGAUGGAAUUAGUGGUGUAGGGGUAAAAUCCGUAGAUAUCACUAGGAAUACCGAAAGCGAAGGCGAUCUCCUGGAACAUAACUGACGCUAAGGCGUGAAAGCGUGGGGAGCAAACAGGAUUAGAUACCCUAGUAGUCC